UCUUGCGCAAUGGCCUGAGGGCUGACGCAGCGACGCCGCGUGUGGGAGGACGCCCUUCGGGGUGUAAACCACUGUUGCCCGGGACGAAGGCGAGACGCGGUCUCGCGUGACGGUACCGGGUGAGGAAGCAGCGGCUAACUCCGGUCCAGCAGCCGCGGUAAUACGGAGGGUGCGAGCGUUGUCCGGAAUCACUGGGCGUAAAGGGCGCGUAGGCGGCCUGGGAAGCGUGCGGUGAAAGUCUGGGGCUCAACCCCGGAUCGGCCGUGCGGACUUUUGGGCUGGAGCACUGUAGAGGCGGGUGGAAUUCCGGGUGUAGCGGUGGAAUGCGUAGAGAUCCGGAAGAACACCGGUGGCGAAGGCGGCCCGCUGGGCAGUGGCUGACGCUGAGGCGCGACAGCGUGGGGAGCAAAC
rnacentral:rRNA from 1 species